rnacentral:rRNA from 1 species
UAAAGUGGCGUACGGGUGAGUAACACGUGGAUGAUCUACCUCUUAGUGGGGGAUAACCUUGGGAAACCGGGGCUAAUACCGCAUAAGCCUGAAAAGGGAAAGGAGCAAUUCGCUGAGAGAGGAGUCCGCGGCUGAUUAGCUAGUCGGUGAGGUAACGGCCCACCAAGGCAAUGAUCGGUAGCCGGCCUGAGAGGGCACACGGCCACACUGGCACUGAAACACGGGCCAG